rnacentral:rRNA from 1 species
ACUCAAAGGAAUUGACGGGGACCCGCACAAGCGGUGGAUGAUGUGGUUUAAUUCGAUGCAACGCGAAAAACCUUACCUACCCUUGACAUGUCAAGAAUUUUGCAGAGAUGUGGAAGUGCUCGAAAGAGAACUUGAACACAGGUGCUGCAUGGCCGUCGUCAGCUCGUGUCGUGAGAUGUUGGGUUAAGUCCCGCAACGAGCGCAACCCUUGUCAUUAGUUGCUACGAAAGGGCACUCUAAUGAGACUGCCGGUGACAAACCGGAGGAAGGUGGGGAUGACGUCAGGUCCUCAUGGCCCUUAUGGGUAGGGCUACACACGUCAUACAAUGGCCGGGACAGAGGGCUGCCAACCCGCGAGGGGGAGCCAAUCCCAGAAACCCGGUCGUAGUCCGGAUCGCAGUCUGCAACUCGACUGCGUGAAGUCGGAAUCGCUAGUAAUCGCGGAUCAGCUUGCCGCGGUGAAUACGUUCCCGGGUCUUGUACACACCGCCCGU